CCAGCAAUGCCGCGUGAGUGAAGAAGGCCUUCGGGUUGUAAAGCUCUUUUGUCAGGGAAGAAACACCGGCUCUAACACAGUCCGGGAAUGACGGUACCUGAAGAAUAAGCACCGGCUAACUACGUGCCAGCAGCCGCGGUAAUACGUAGGGUGCAAGCGUUAAUCGGAAUUACUGGGCGUAAAGCGUGCGCAGGCGGUUAUACAAGACAGGCGUGAAAUCCCCGGGCUUAACCUGGGAAUGGCGCCUGUGACUGUAUAGCUAGAGUGUGUCAGAGGGGGGUAGAAUUCCACGUGUAGCAGUGAAAUGCGUAGAUAUGUGGAGGAAUACCAAUGGCGAAGGCAGCCCCCUGGGAUAACACUGACGCUCAUGCACGAAAGCGUGGGGAGCAAACAGGAUUAGAUACCCUGGUAGUCCACGCCCUAAACGAUGCUGACUAGUUGUUCGGGAUUUACAUCCUGAGUAACGUAGCUAACGCGUGAAGUCAGCCGCCUGGGGAGUACC
rnacentral:rRNA from 1 species